rnacentral:ncRNA from 1 species
AAAAUGUUUGAUUUUAGCUUAAUUUUUUACAUUAUUGUUAAAAUUGUAUGAAAGUCAAGUCGUGAUAAAAGUAGUUUAAUUAAAUAUUAAAUUGAUACUUAAGAGAAGUUGAAUUAUAAAACUUUGUGGUCUCAGCAUAAAAUAUUGUAAAUUGAUACACUAAAGUGUGAAACAGUGAUAAUAUAAAAUCUGAUAUAUAUUUGUGCCAGCAUUCGCGGUUAUACUUUAAGAUUAAGUAAAAAGUUUAGGUAAUAGUUAAAUGGUUAAUUUAAAGCUUAAAUAUAAAUAACAAAAAGUAAAAUUAGAAUGUUAUUUUGUAUAAAAAUAAAUUAUAAUUGAAACUAAAAAGGUCUAGUAAUAAACUAGGAUUAGAUACCCUAUUAUUCUAGAAUAAAUUUAAUUAACUUAAUUAGUAAAAGAUAGAUUCUUAAAAUUUAAAAAAUUUGGCGGCAGUUUAAUCUUUUCAGAGGAACCUGUUUUUAAAUCGAUAAACCACGAAAAAUCUUACUUGUUCUUGUAUAAAUUACAGUUUGUAUACCAUCAUUAUCAGAUAAUUCUUAGAGGAAAAAUUAUUUUAUUUAAUUGUUUAUUAAAAUUAGAUCAUGGUGCAGUUUAUGAGCAAGGUAAAAUGGGUUACAAUAAAUUAUUUUAUUGCGAAUUUAUACUAUAAUAUUAUAAUAAAGAUGGAUUUGAUUGUAUUUUUAGUUUAAUAAGCUAAAGAGAUAUGAGUUCUAAAUUGUGUACAUAUCGCCCGUCGCUUUCAUUUAUAAGUGAAAUAAGUCGUAACAUAGUAGAUGUACUGGAAAGUGUAUCUAGUAAAAG